rnacentral:rRNA from 1 species
AUUGAACGCUGGCGGCAGGCCUAACACAUGCAAGUCGAGCGGUAGAGAGAAGCUUGCUUCUCUUGAGAGCGGCGGACGGGUGAGUAAUGCCUAGGAAUCUGCCUGGUAGUGGGGGAUAACGUUCGGAAACGGACGCUAAUACCGCCUACGUCCUACGGGAGAAAGCAGGGGACCUUCGGGCCUUGCGCUAUCAGAUGAGCCUAGGUCGGAUUAGCUAGUUGGUGGGGUAAUGGCUCACCAAGGCGACGAUCCGUAACUGGUCUGAGAGGAUGAUCAGUCACACUGGAACUGAGACACGGUCCAGACUCCUACGGGAGGCAGCAGUGGGGAAUAUUGGACAAUGGGCGAAAGCCUGAUCCAGCCAUGCCGCGUGUGUGAAGAAGGUCUUCGGAUUGUAAAGCACUUUAAGUUGGGAGGAAGGGCAGUAAAUUAAUACUUUGCUGUUUUGACGUUACCGACAGAAUAAGCACCGGCUAACUCUGUG